rnacentral:lncRNA from 1 species
AUGGCUGCAAUCCGAAUGAGACGUGCCUGUGGCUCUCAUGAGGCCCGCGGUGUGGGCAUGGGGAGGUGUGGCUGUGGCUCUCAUGAGGCCCGCGGUGUGGGCAUGGGGAGGUGUGCCUGUGGCUCUCAUGAGGCCCGCGGUGUGGGCAUGGGGAGGUGUGGCUGUGGCUCUCAUGAGGCCCGCGGUGUGGGCAUGGGGAGGUGUGCCUGUGGCUCUCAUGAGGCCCGCGGUGUGGGCAUGGGGAGGUGUGCCUGUGGCUCUCAUGAGGCCCGCGGUGUGGGCAUGGGGAGGUGUGCCUGUGGCUCUCAUGAGGCCCGCGGUGUGGGCAUGGGGAGGUGUGGCUGUGGCUCUCAUGAGGCCCGCGGUGUGGGCAUGGGGAGGUGUGGCUGUGGCUCUCAUGAGGCCCGUGGUGUGGGCAUGGGGAGAUGUGCCUGUGGCUCUCAUGAGACCCGUGGUGUGGGCAUGGGGAGGUGUGCCUGUGGCUCUCAUGAGGCCCGCGGUGUGGGCAUGGGGAGGUGUGGCUGUGGCUCUCAUGAGGCCCGCGGUGUGGGCAUGGGGAGGUGUGCCUGUGGCUCUCAUGAGGCCCGCGGUGUGGGCAUGGGGAGGUGUGGCUGUGGCUCUCAUGAGGCCCGCGGUGUGGGCAUGGGGAGGUGUGCCUGUGGCUCUCAUGAGGCCCGCGGUGUGGGCAUGGGGAGGUGUGGCUGUGGCUCUCAUGAGGCCCGCGGUGUGGGCAUGGGGAGAUGUGCCUGUGGCUCUCAUGAGGCCCGCGGUGUGGGCAUGGGGAGAUGUGCCUGUGGCUCUCAUGAGGCCCGCGGUGUGGGCAUGGGGAGGUGUGGCUGGGAGGGUUCUGGAGGCAGGGUCAGCAGGAAGCACCCACCAAUGUGGUUCGAGAGGCACAGGGAGAAGGCAGGAUGCUUGCAGGUCCCGGGAGGGUGUGGCGUUGACUCUGAAGCCGUGUACCAUGGAAGCCAGGAGUUCUUAGGAAGAGCCGGGUGGCCCUGGGACUGUCAAGGCUUGUAG